AUGAACGCUGGCGGCGUGCCUAAUCCCUGCCAGUCGCGCGAACAGACGAGGAGCUUGCUCCUCUGACGUUAGCGGCGGACGGGUGAGUAACACGUGGAUAACCUACCUAUAAGACUGGGAUAACUUCGGGAAACCGGAGCUAAUACCGGAUAAUAUAUUGAACCGCAUGGUUCAAUAGUGAAAGACGGUUUUGCUGUCACUUAUAGAUGGAUCCGCGCCGCAUUAGCUAGUUGGUAAGGUAACGGCUUACCAAGGCAACGAUGCGUAGCCGACCUGAGAGGGUGAUCGGCCACACUGGAACUGAGACACGGUCCAGACUCCUACGGGAGGCAGCAGUAGGGAAUCUUCCGCAAUGGGCGAAAGCCUCACGGAGCAACGCCGCGUGAGUGAUGAAGGUCUUCGGAUCGUAAAACUCUGUUAUUAGGGAAGAACAAAUGUGUAAGUAACUAUGCACGUCUUGACGGUACCUAAUCAGAAAGCCACGGCUAACUACGUG
rnacentral:rRNA from 1 species